UGACGUGGACAAUGUAGCCCGCAAGGUAGAAGAGAACACAUUUCUCCGUUUUUGUGAGGUCAGGUGCUGCUCUGUUCUCCUCCAUCAGGUCCUCCACUCUGAGUCCAGGACUGAUAUUUGGCUCCACUGUGCCCAGGAAGUCUACCAAAAAGCUGUUGUCGUCUUCCUGGUAGCGUCCAGACUUGAUGGUGGCUAGGAACCGCCAAACUGAUAUUAUUCUCACCGCAUGAUGGAAUUCCACUGGAGUUGGGACAGGAUUCUUAUAUGACACAGCUGAAUGUAUUUUCCAGACAGUCUUGUGUGAACCAUGCAGUCAACACAAACUUGUGUCCUCAUGUCAGCAUUUCUUCCUGUAUUGCCAGAAUAGAUGUUGUUGCCCUUACCACCCAUUUGUAUAGGCUGCCAACCUCCCUGUCGACUAAUCUUCAUCCCACAGAACAGAUGGACCAUGUCCUGGAGGAAGGUGAUGGCCUUUUGAUACUCCUCCAUCUUGAGCCUGCUCAGUGCUGUUAUCGGAUGGCGAGAGGACAUAAGAUCAAACCAAUGAUCAACUUGCUCCAGGAGCCACGGUAUAGUCAGGUGCAGGGGUGAAUCUUGGUGCAGGGGCCUUCUUCUUUUUGACCUCAGGGCGAUGUACAAAGAUUGUAGGAAUAGCGUCUGCUCUCAGCCUAGCCUUGCCCUUUCUGGUCUUGGAAAAUUGUUCUGCCAUAAAAUGUGCCUGCAGAGUGACUUUCAGCAGGGAAACCAUACAUCUGUAGUCCUUUCUCCGAACGGUUGGAGCAUCCCCAUGCAGCACAGCCAACCAUCAUGGAAAUCAAGAGACUGGGUUCAAGGACAACACUGAGGAAAGAGCACAGACAAUGGAAUUGACACACUGUUCAUGUUUCUGAGUUUAUUAGAGCCUCAAUGGGGUAAAUAAGUACAUAGUUUAUUUAGUUACAGAUUGAGAACAAGCACUGAGUUACUCAAUGUGCAUGCCUAAAAACAAUUAUUGACUUAUGUGGCGUCAGGCCAUGUCAUGCAGUGUGCAUUGCAUCAUUACAAU